GCCGGGAUAGCUCAGUGGUAGAGCGUCCGCUUGAAGAGCGGAGCGUGGGCGGUUCGAUUCCGUCUCCCGGCA
rnacentral:tRNA from 1 species